GCAGACACAUUCCAGCCAAUCAGCAGCAGACCCUCCCUCCCAGACCCUCCCACCUCCUGGACAGCUCACUAAGAAUGCAGCUUCACAAUGAAUGUAAAAUGGAUGCUGUCCAGGAGGCGGGAGGGACUGGGAGGGAGGGUCUGCUGCUGAUUGGCUGGAAUGUGUCUG
rnacentral:miRNA from 1 species